GGGCUUGUGGUUUAGUGGUAUAAUACUCCCUUAGCAAUAUACGACCUAUAAUAUUGGGAGUGGUCCGGGGUUCGAUUCCCCGCAAGUCCA
rnacentral:tRNA from 1 species